GAUGAACGCUGGCGGCGUGCCUAAUACAUGCAAGUCGAGCGAACAGACGAGGAGCUUGCUCCUCUGACGUUAGCGGCGGACGGGUGAGUAACACGUGGAUAACCUACCUAUAAGACUGGGAUAACUUCGGGAAACCGGAGCUAAUACCGGAUAAUAUAUUGAACCGCAUGGUUCAAUAGUGAAAGACGGUUUUGCUGUCACUUAUAGAUGGAUCCGCGCCGCAUUAGCUAGUUGGUAAGGUAACGGCUUACCAAGGCAACGAUGCGUAGCCGACCUGAGAGGGUGAUCGGCCCCACUGGAGCUGAGACGCGGUCCAGACUCCUACGGGAGGCAGCAGUAGGGAAUCUUCCGCGAAGGGCGAAAGCCUGACGGAGCAACGCCGCGUGAGUGAUGAAGGUCUUCGGAUCGUAAAACUCUGUUAUUAGGGAAGAACAAAUGUGUAAGUAACUAUGCACGUCUUGACGGUACCUAAUCAGAAAGCCACGGCUAACUACGU
rnacentral:rRNA from 1 species